rnacentral:rRNA from 3 species
AGACCCGAAACCCGGUGAUCUAGCCAUGGGCAGGUUGAAGGUUGGGUAACACUAACUGGAGGACCGAACCGACUAAUGUUGAAAAAUUAGCGGAUGACCUGUGGCUGGGGGUGAAAGGCCAAUCAAACCGGGAGAUAGCUGGUUCUCCCCGAAAGCUAUUUAGGUAGCGCCUCGUGAAUUCAUCUCCGGGGGUAGAGCACUGUUUCGGCUAGGGGGCCAUCCCGGCUUACCAACCCGAUGCAAACUGCGAAUACCGGAGAAUGUUAUCACGGGAGACACACGGCGGGUGCUAACGUCCGUCGUGAAGAGGGAAACAACCCAGACCGCCAGCUAAGGUCCCAAAGUCAUGGUUAAGUGGGAAACGAUGUGGGAAGGCCCAGACAGCCAGGAUGUUGGCUUAGAAGCAGCCAUCAUUUAAAGAAAGCGUAAUAGCUCACUGGUCGAGUCGGCCUGCGCGGAAGAUGUAACGGGGCUAAACCAUGCACCGAAGCUGCGGCAGCGACACUCAGGUGUUGUUGGGUAG